rnacentral:rRNA from 1 species
GCAAGUCGAACGAGACCUUCGGGUCUAGUGGCGCACGGGUGCGUAACGCGUAUGCAACCUACCCUUAACAGGGGGAUAGCCCGGAGAAAUUCGGAUUAAUACCCCAUAGUAUCACAAGAUGGCAUCUGAAAGUGAUUAAAGAUUUAUCGGUUAAGGAUGGGCAUGCGUAACAUUAGAUAGUUGGUGAGGUAACGGCUCACCAAGUCAGCGAUGUUUAGGGGUUCUGAGAGGAUGAUC